ACGGGUGAGUAACACGUGGGUAACCUGCCCUUGGGAUUGGGAUAACUGGCCGAAAGGCCCGCUAAUACCGGAUAAGACCACAGGAGCUUCGGCUCCAGGGGUCAAAGUCGGCCUCUCGAAGAAGCCGGCACCUGAGGAGGGGCCCGCGGACCAUUAGCUAGUUGGUGGGGUAACAGCCUACCAAGGCCGAGAUGGUUAGCUGGUCUGAGAGGAUGAUCAGCCACACUGGAACUGAGAUACGGUCCAGACUCCUACGGGAGGCAGCAGUGAGGAAUAUUGCGCAAUGGGGGCAACCCUGACGCAGCAACGCCGCGUGGGUGAAGAAGGCUUUCGGGUUGUAAAGCCCUGUCAGGUGGGAAGAAACCUCUGAAGGUGAAUAGUCUUCAGAGCUGACGGUACCACCAAAGGAAGCACCGGCUAACUCCGUGCCAGCAGCCGCGGUAAGACGGAGGGUGCAAGCGUUGUUCGGAAUCACUGGGCGUAAAGCGCGUGUAGGCGGUUUGGUAAGUCGAGUGUGAAAGCCCAAGGCUCAACCUUGGAAGUGCACUCGAAACUGUCAGGCUUGAGUACGGGAGAGGGAAGU
rnacentral:rRNA from 1 species